AGGGACCAACCUGCCCUGGCACAUCAAGUCAUAUCAGGACUAAGUGCCUCCUCCUCCUCCCUGAAGCAAGACGUGGUGGCCCUGAAAGGAAAAUGGUAUCCAGAGGAAGGGACUCUGGAAUCCAGAGUCCAAGUCAGAGACAGCCUCCACUCCCAUUUUUUAGGAGACCCGCUUGAGGACCAAGCUGCCCAUCAGCUUCAUAUAUGUAGGUGGCUGAGGACCAUUCCAUGAAUGUUUUUUGGUUGGUGGUUCAGUGUCUAUAAGUCUCCAUGGGCCCAGUCAGUUGGCUAUUUAGGUCUUCUUGUGGUAUCCUUGACCCCUUCAGCUCCCUCCAUCCUUCCUCUCACUCUUCCAUAAGACUCCCUGAGUUCUGCCUUAUGUUUGGCUGUGGAUCUCUGAAUUUCUUUCUGUUAUCUGCUGGAUAAAGCCUCUCAGAUGACAGUCAUACUAGGUUCCUGUCUGGAAAGAUAACAGAAUAUCAGUAAUAGUGUAAGGGGUGAGUCUCAAGUUGGGCCAGUCAUUGGUCAGCCAUUUCCUCAAUCUCUGUUCCAUCUAUUAUCCCUACACAUCUUGAAUGCAGGACAAAAUAUGUGUCAAGGGCUUUGUGGAUGGGGUGGUGUCCCACUCUAUACACUGGAAGUCCUGCAUGGUGACAGGAUGUGGCCACUUCAGUCUCAGUAUACCCCUCUGCCAGGAGUCUCAGCUAGGGUUCCCCGAUAUCUACCCAGGAGCCUCCUCCAUCCUGAGUCCUUAGCUUGUCCCAGAGAUUCUCCAACACCAAUUUCCCUUCUGUCUUCGAGUCUUCUAACCUCCCAUCUCCAUUCUCCCCAUACCUGAUUCCCUUCAGUGCUCCCCAUACCACACCCACUCUCUCACCCAGUUCCCUCUGUCCCUCCAUGAUGUCUAUGAUGUUUAUUUUAUUUCUGUUUCAUAGUGGGAUUCAAGCAUCCUUUCUUGAAUCCUCAUGCUACUUAGUUUCUUUGAGCUUGUGGGUUGUAGCAUGGUUAUCAUGUACUUUCUUUCUAAUAUCCACUUGUGUACACACCAUGUUUGUCUUCAUAGAUCUGGGUUAUCUCACUCAGGAUGAUCUUUUUUAGUUGUAUCCAUUUGCCUAAAAAUUCCAUGAUAGUAUUGAUUUUAAUAGCUGAGUACUAUUCCAUUGUGUAAAUGUAUCACAUUUUCUUUAUCCAUUCUUCAUUUGAGGGACAUCUAGAUUGCUUCUAGUUUCUGACAAUUAAAAAUAAAGCUGUUACGAACAUAGUUGAGCAAGUGUGAUUAUAGUGGAACAUAAUUAUAGAACAUCUUUUGGGUAUCAGGACUGGUAUAUCUGGGUCUUAAGGUGGAGCUAUUCCCAAUUUUCAAAGAAACCACCAGAUUGAUAUCCAAAGUGGUUGCCCUGUAUUACCCAGUUCUCGAGUACCCAAAUGACCAACAGGAUUUGAGUCCAAUGCACAACACACGAGGGUCUUUUAUUACAAGCUCAAGCAGUGUGGCUGCCCUUUACAAAGACAAAGAGGCAAGCAACCCACAACUCAGGAGAAUAAGGUUUUUAAAGGGACAAAACACAAGCAGGGAAGUACAAGUCUUGGCAUUACAGGAUUGGGUAAGAGAGUCUCUAGGGGAGCUGACCUUUAAAAUGAUUGGUCUGUUUUUAGGUGCCAAGACUGCAAAUGGUCAGGCCUGGCUACCUGGAGAAACCUGACCCUAGUACUGCCCUCUUACAUGCAGGUUAGGCUGUAGCAAGGGAGAGGAAGGUUUAGCACAUUCUGCAGGCUUUCUUAGGGGCUACGUGACUCCAGUCACACCCUAAAGUUUAUCUGGGUGGAGGACUGAUGCUGGACCUCUGCUCUGAAAGGACUGUGAUCUGAUGAUUUUGCCCCAGCCCCAAGAAUUAACUCUAAGUUUUUUAAUCUCUCAGUCUGAGAUUGUACAUGCUUGAAUAUCACUCAGACUGGGAAAUAUAAUAGACAUCUGAAGUAGAUGGAAGGAGAGAGCUGGGUGGGAGGAAUGGGGAUCAGGUUUGGAGAGAGUGGGGGUGGGGAAAGGACUUGGAGAAAAAUGGAAAUCAGUGGGUGCGGGGUGCAUCUCUGGAACAUGGGAGGCUCCCUGGAGUCCUUGCAGUUGACAAGUUGAGACACCUAGCAGCUGGGGAUAUGGGGCUUGAAGUCACCACCUCCUGUGGCCAGGUGGGACUUCCAAUGAAAAGAAGGAAACACCAACCCACCCAUAAAACCUUUGACUCAAAAUUUGUCUUGCCUACAAGAAGUGUAGGGAUAAAGAUAGAACAGAGAUUGAAGAAAUGGACAACCAAUGACUGGCCAAACUUGAGACCCACCCAAUGCAAGCAUGCUAACCAUGACACUAUUAAUGAUUCUCUGCUAUGCUUUCAGACAGGAACCUUGCAUAAGCUUCUGAGAGGCUUUAUCCAUAAGCUCAUGGAAACAGAUGCAGAGACCCACAGCCAAACAGUGUGGAAUGUGGGACUGAUUCAGAUAGUCUGCAGCAGCAAACUACUUUCCUCAUGCAUGCUCUGAGAGGACUCUUUGCCAGCUGCAGAGAAUUUAAAUCUAAGGAAUCUGGAGAGAGAAUAAAUGUCUGAGCCCAGAGAGUGUUGGAGAGCUAUGAGAAAGAAAAAAGCUGCUGCUGCUUCUCCCUGUGGCUUCUGGUUGCUGUUGAUGCAAUAAGACAAUAAGUUGGAGAUCUCUUAAAACAAGGAUUGAACUGGCUCCAAGAAACCCAAUGACCUUAACCAGUAGUAAGCAGCUAAGAGAAUUGUGGCCUCUCUCCCAUUUAGCCUUUUUCUCUCUUAGCUGGUGUUGGGGUGUUUGAAGGUACUGGGGUGUAGUAAGGAGAAAAAGACAUAAAAACGUAAAUAAAUAUUAAGUACGCCAACAUACUACCACCACUAACAUCAAAAUAUCAGUCAUUAAUAUUUCUGAAUAUCGGUGGAUUCAAUUCCCCAAUAAAAGACAUAGGCUAACAGAAUGGAUAUGAAAACAAGAUUCAUCAUUCUGCUGCAUACAAGAAACACACCUCAGCAACAAAGAUAGAUAUUACCUCAGAGAAAGGGGCUGGAAAAAAGUUUUCCAAGGAAAUGGACCCAAAAAUGAAGCUGCAGUAGUCAUUCUAAUAUCCAGUACAAUCAACUUUCAACCAAAAUUAAACAAAAGAGAUGGGGAGACACUUCAUUCUUAUCAAAGGAAAACUCUAACAAGAUAACAUGUCAAUUCUAAAUUUUUUAUGCCCAAAAUGUGAGGGUACCACACUUGUAAAAGAAACAUAUAGUUUAAAUAACAUAACGAACCACACACAUUAACAAUAGGAGACUUCAAUACCCAACUCUCACCAAUAGACAGGUCACCCAGAUAGAAGCUAAAGAGAGAAAUAAUAAAAUGAACAGCCAUUAUGAAUUAAAUGGACCAAACAAAUAUUUACAAAACAUUUUACCCAAACACACUACAAUGUACCUUCUUCUCAGUACCCCAUAGAACCUCCUCCAAAACUGACUAUACAGUUGUACGCAAAGCAAGUCUCAAUAGAUACAAGAAAAUUGAAAUAACUCCCUGUAUCUUAUCACUCCACCAUGGAUUAAUGGAUUAAUACUGUCCUUUGACCACAUGAGAUAUAACAGAAUGCCUACAAACUCAAAAAAAAAAAAAAAACCUAUAAAGCCUGGAAACUGAACAACUCUACUCAAUGACCACUGGGUCAAGGAAGAAAUAAAGAAAUAAAUUAAAGACUUUCUAGAGUUCAAUGAAAAUAAAGGCAAAACGUACCCAAAUUUAUGGGACACAAUAAUGUCAGUGCUAAAAGGAAAGUUCAGAGUAUUAAAUGCCUUCAUAAAGUAUUUGGAGAUCUCUCAUACUAGCAAUUUAAAGCCAUGCCUGAAAGAUCUAGAACAAAAAGAAACAAAACAUACCCAAGAAGGGUAGAUGGCAGGAAAUAACCAAACUCAGGAUUGAAAACAAUAAAUUAGAAGCAAGGAAAAGAUAAAGAAUCAACAAAAUGAAGAAAUGGUUCUUUGAGAAAAUCAACAAGACAGACAAAUACUUACCCAAACUAAAUAAAAGGGUGAGAAACAGUAUCCAAAUUAAUAAAAUCAGAAAUGAAAAGGAGGCAUAACAACAGACACUGAGAAAAUCCAAAGAAUCAUUAGGUCUUAUUUCAAAAGCCUGUACUCCAAAGAAUUAGAAAACUCAAUGAAAUGUAUUAUUUUCUUGAUAGGUACUACAUACCAAAGUCAAAUCAAGAUCAGGUAAACAAUUUAAAUAUGUCAAUAACCUUUAAGGAAAUAGAAAGAAUCACUAACUCUUCACCCAACCAAAAAAAGCCCUGGGAUAGAUGGUUUUAGUAAAUAAUUCUACCAGACUUUCAAAGAAUAACUAAUGCCAAUACCCAUCAAAUUAUUCCACAAAACGAAAACAUUUAAUGAGGUCACUGUCACCCUGAUAUAUAAACCACACAAAGACUCAACAAAGAAAGAUAAUCUUAGAACAAUUUCCCUUAUGAACAUUGGUGAAAAAUAGUCAACAUAAUGCUUGCAAACUAAUUCCAAGUACAUACCAAAAAACAUCAUACACCAUGAUCAAGUAGGUUUCAUCCCAGGGGUGCAAGGAUGGUUCAAUAUUUUAUCAAUGUAAUCCAACAAAUGGAAAGAAAAAAAUCACAUGAACUUCUUAUUAGAUGCUGAAAAAGCCUUUGACAAAAUCCAACUCUGCUUCAUGUUAAAAGUCUUGGAGAAAUCAAGGAUACAAAGUGCAAAUGUAAACACAAUAAAGGCAAUAUACUGCAAGCAAAUAGAUAACAUCAAAUUAAAUAGGGAAAAACUUAAAUCAAUCCCACUAAAAUUAGGUACAAGACAAGGCUGCCCACUCUCUCCAUAUCUAUUCAACAUAGUACUUGAAGUUAUAUCAAGAUCAAUAAAACAACCAAAGGAGAUCAUGGGGAUAUAAGUUGGAAAGGAAGAAGGCAAAGUAUUGCUAUUCACAUAUGAUAUGAUAGUAUACAUAAAUGACCCCCAAAAUUCUACAAGAUAAUUCCCACAUUCGAUAAACACCUAUAGCAAAGUGGAUGAAUACAAAACUAACUCAAAAAAUCAACAGCCCUUCAUUAAAUAAAUCAUAAAGGGGUUGAGAAAUAAAUUAAGGGGAAAGACCCUUCACAGUAGCCAAAAAUAAUAUAAUAACUUGUUGUAACCCUAACCAAGGAAGUGAAAGCCCUGUAUGAUAAGAAUUUUAAGUAUCUGAAGAAAUUGAAAAAGGUAUCACAAGAUGGAAAAAUCUCUCAUGCUCCCGGAUUGGUAGGAUUAACAUACCAAAAAUGGCCAUCUUACCAAAAGCAAUCUACAGAUUCAAUGCAAUUCCCAUCAAAAUUCCAAAAAAAAAAUUUCAAUCCUUUAAAGAACAACACUGAACUUCAAAUGGAAAAACAAAAAACCCAGAAUAGCUAAAACAAUCCUGAACAGUAAAAGAAUUUCUGGAGAUAUCACCAUCCUUGAUUUCAAGCUGUGUGGGAAGCAGCUUCUGACAUGACUAUUUUGGCUUGAUUCUAGCUCAGCUAGAAUUUUAGAGGUCAUUGCCAUUUUCUUUACUAACCAAGCUUAUAGUUUCUAUUUCUCUUCCGCUAGGACUUUCCUGUAAAUCAGAUGACAGGGUGUUGCCAUGGGAAACUUUAGGAGUCUGGUACUUGGAAUUCUGCUUCCUGGCCUUGGUAGAUAUGGGUCUAAUAUAAAGUUCUGUUUCUCAGGGACUGUCCUUGGCAGUCCUUGGGAAUGGGGUGUUCUGUUCCUUCGAACUAGAUAGCAAGUUCUGUGCAACCCUGGGAACCAGAUAGUAAUUUUCGUGUAGCCUUGAGUGAAUCCUUGGACACCUUGCCAAAUGACGCACAUACUGAUAUUGUGAGAAGAUUUAUUUGUGAUUCUUUACUAUAUAAGUGUAUGCUUUGCCUUCAAUAAAUGAGACUUGAUCAGA